rnacentral:rRNA from 1 species
UACGUAGGGUGCGAGCGUUGUCCGGAAUUAUUGGGCGUAAAGAGCUUGUAGGCGGGUUGUCGCGUCUGCCGUGAAAUUUCGGGGCUCAACCCCGAACUUGCGGUGGGUACGGGCAGACUAGAGUGUGGUAGGGGAGACUGGAAUUCCUGGUGUAGCGGUGAAAUGCGCAGAUAUCAGGAGGAACACCGAUGGCGAAGGCAGGUCUCUGGGCCACUACUGACGCUGAGAAGCGAAAGCAUGGGGAGCGAACAGG